UUUUGAGACAUAAAAGACAAAUCACAAUGAUAAGGCCACUAACCAUUAACAUAAAAGUAUAAAUGAUCAGAAAUGUGCAGCUGCGGAAUUUGAAAGAGCGGUUGUAUCAUCCCCCAUAUUACACAAUUGCACGAGGACACUGCAAGUCGGACUAACCAAUUUAUACUAUUCUGACAUCUGCUAUGAAGAUAAAAUGCUGACAAAAAUUGCUCCUUUUAAGACUAUACAAAAAGACGAGCCUACUCUCGGGCUUCAUCUCAAAAGAAUACCAAAGUUUACCAAAAAGAAAAAAAAAAUGUAAUCAAACCAGACCUGUGCGCUCUGGCGAUCGACCAUCAUAGCUAUAUUACGGCUGUCAAGCCCCACAUGAAAAUCUUGGCAACCUCAAUCACUAUAAUCUCCGGACUCUGAAGAGUCAGACUCUUGAUCCUCAUUGACAUCCCCAUCCCUAUCUGAGUCGUCCUCAACCAUGUUACCAUAUCUUUCCAUAUUUUGGCCAUGGAUUCUGUAUCUAUCAUCAUUGUCAUUAUCAGGGUCAUCGUUGUCAUCGUCCUCGUCAUCGUCAUUGCCAUCACCAGCAAAACCAUCCUGAUCCUCAUCUGACAUUUCCAUUAAAUCACUCCUGUUAAACUCGUAUGUAUUUUCGGGAGCACAGUCAUCAGAAUCAGCAGCUUCCAUACUAUUACUAUCAUCAUUUGUGGCUUCUAUUCCUUCAACAUUAAACUCUUCUCUCCCAUGCUUUCUAGGUGGUACUACAAAAGUCAGUCGGCUGCCUUUAUCACCCAAAUAAUUUGGUUGAAUCUCUUCAACAAUUUUCUUCUCUAUUCUCCUCUUCCUAACAUGUCAAACUCUUCUCUCCCAUGCUUUCUAGGUGGUACUACAAAAGUUAGUCGGCUGCCUUUAUCACCCAAAUAAUCUGGUUGAAUCUCUUCAACAAUUUUCUUCUCUAUUCUCCUCUUCCUAACAGUU
rnacentral:lncRNA from 1 species